UACGUAGGGGGCGAGCGUUGUCCGGAUUUAUUGGGCGUAAAGAGCGUGUAGGCGGCCAGGUAGGUCUGCUGUGAAAACUCGAGGCUCAACCUCGAGACGUCGGCGGAAACCAUCUGGCUAGAGUCCGGAAGAGGAGAGUGGAAUUCCUGGUGUAGUGGUGAAAUGCGUAGAGAUCCGGAGGAACACCAGAGGCGAAAGCGGCGCCUGGGGUGAGGUUGGCGACGCUCAGACACGAAAGCAUGGGGAGCGAACGGG
rnacentral:rRNA from 1 species